rnacentral:rRNA from 1 species
ACAAGCGAGCGGCGGACGGGUGAGUAACACGUGGGUAACCUGCCCAAGAGACUGGGAUAACACCUGGAAACAGAUGCUAAUACCGGAUAACAACACUAGACGCAUGUCUAGAGUUUGAAAGAUGGUUCUGCUAUCACUCUUGGAUGGACCUGCGGUGCAUUAGCUAGUUGGUAAGGUAACGGCUUACCAAGGCAAUGAUGCAUAGCCGAGUUGAGAGACUGAUCGGCCACAUUGGGACUGAGACACGGCCCAAACUCCUACGGGAGGCAGCAGUAGGGAAUCUUCCACAAUGGACGAAAGUCUGAUGGAGCAACGCCGCGUGAGUGAAGAAGGGUUUCGGCUCGUAAAGCUCUGUUGGUAGUGAAGAAAGAUAGAGGUAGUAACUGGCCUUUAUUUGACGGUAAUUACUUAGAAAGUCACGGCUAACUACGUGCCAACAGCCGCGGUAAUACGUAGGUGGCAAGCGUUUGUCCGGAUUUAUUGGGCGUAAAGCGAGUGCAGGCGGUUCAAUAA